rnacentral:rRNA from 1 species
GACGAACGCUGGCGGCGUGCUUAACACAUGCAAGUCGAACGGAAAGGCCUUGCUUUUGUGGGGUGCUCGAGUGGCGAACGGGUGUGUAACACGUGAGUAUCCUGCCCUUUACUUUGGGAUAACUUCAUGAAACUGGGGCUCAUACCGGAUAUGAGCUCCUGCUGCAUGGUGUGGGUUGGAAAGUUUCGGUGGUUGGGGAUGGACUCGCGGCUUAUCAGCUUGUUGGUGGGGUAGUGGCUUACCAAGGCUUUGACGGGUAGCCGGCCUGAGAGGGUGACCGGCCACACUGGGACUGAGAUACGGCCCAGACUCCUACGGGAGGCAGCAGUGGGGAAUAUUGCACAAUGGGCGGAAGCCUGAUGCAGCAACGCCGCGUGCGGGAUGACGGCCUUCGGGUUGUAAACCGCUUUCGCCUGUGACGAAGCGUGAGUGACGGUACUGGGUAAAGAAGCACCGGCUAACUACGUG